rnacentral:rRNA from 1 species
UGGGGAAUAUUGGACAAUGGGCGCAAGCCUGAUCCAGCCAUGCCGCGUGUGUGAAGAAGGCCUUUUGGUUGUAAAGCACUUUAAGCGAGGAGGAGGCUACUUGGAUUAAUACUCCAGGAUAGUGGACGUUACUCGCAGAAUAAGCACCGGCUAACUCUGUGCCAGCAGCCGCGGUAAUACAGAGGGUGCGAGCGUAAAUCGGAUUUACUGGGCGUAUAGCGUGCGUAGGCGGCUUUUUACGUAGGAUGUGAAAUCCCUGAGCUUAACUUAGGAAUUGCAUUCGAUACUGGGAAGCUAGAGUAUGGGAGAGGAUGGUAGAAUUCCAGGUGUAGCGGUGAAAUGCGUAGAAAUCUGGAGGAAUACCGAUGGCGAAGGCAGCCAUCUGGCCUAAUACUGACGCUGAGGUACGAAAGCAUGGGGAGCAAACAGG